rnacentral:rRNA from 1 species
UACGUAGGGUGCGAGCGUUGUCCGGAAUUAUUGGGCGUAAAGGGUGCGUAGGCGGUUUGGUAAGUCUUAUGUGAAAUCUACAGGCUCAACUUGUAGUCUGCAUGAGAAACUGCCGGGCUUGAGUAUGGGAGAGGUGAGUGGAAUUCCUGGUGUAGCGGUGAAAUGCGUAGAUAUCAGGAGGAACACCUGUGGCGAAAGCGGCUCACUGGCCCGAUACUGACGCUGAGGCACGAAAGCGUGGGGAGCAAACAGG